rnacentral:lncRNA from 1 species
CGAGUUCGCUGCCAUGAAGCUAAGAAGCAAAGGGGCUUCCAAUGCCUCUCGACGUCCUCCACCUAGCCCGGAGCGUUCCGUCCGAAACCCAUCACCUCCGACCGAGUCAGUUCAUCAAGUUCGGCCGGAGCAGUUUGAUGCCCUGGUGCAACAAGUGCAAGCCUUGGCUACCGCUGUCCAAAGCUUGCAACCCAGGGGCAUCCUAACGGCACCGCCUCCUCCGGCUCCAGUUUAACCGGAGCCCCCUACAAGCGGGUUUCCCCUUCGAGUAUCAUGCUCCAAGUCCCAAACGCUCAGUCCAAAAUUCACCAUCAAGAUCUCCGGUAGAUCAAGUUCCACAAGUCCAACUCGAGCACUUCGAUGCGCUUGUGCAGCAAGUCCAAGCGCUAGCUAUUUGCAGCCCAAAGCCUGCAACAAGUGGAGGCCCCUCCUGUGCCGCCUCCACGGAAUCAUGUAAAGCAGAGGAAGAAACUUUCUCCUGACUCCCGAGCCAUCUCGAAUCAGGCAUGGCUCCCGCUGCAACGACGUAUGUGGGGGCAACCAGUGAGAAGUAGUAAUCCAAGUCUCACGUCAACGAGUUG